rnacentral:rRNA from 1 species
GCCGUAGCGAAAGCGAGUCUGAAUAGGGCGCAUAAGUAACAGGUCGUAGACCCGAAACCAGGUGAUCUACCCAUGUCCAGGAUGAAGGUAAGGUAAUACUUACUGGAGGUCCGAACCCACGCACGUUGAAAAGUGCGGGGAUGAGGUGUGGGUAGCGGAGAAAUUCCAAUCGAACUUGGAGAUAGCUGGUUCUCUCCGAAAUAGCUUUAGGGCUAGCCUCGAGGUAAAGAGUCAUGGAGGUAGAGCACUGUUUGGACUAGGGGCCCUUCUCGGGUUACCGAAUUCAGAUAAACUCCGAAUGCCAUGUACUUAUACUCGGGAGUCAGACUGCGAGUGAUAAGAUCCGUAGUCGAAAGGGAAACAGCCCAGACCACCAGUUAAGGUCCCCAAAUAUAUGUUAAGUGGAAAAGGAUGUGGGGUUGCUUAGACAACCAGGAUGUUGGCUUAGAAGCAGCCACCAUUGAAAGAGUGCGUAAUAGCUCACUGGUCGAGUGACCCCGCGCCGAAAAUGUACCGGGGCUAAACAUAUUACCGAAACUGUGGAUGAACCUCUUUAGAGGUUCGUGGUAGGAGAGCGUUCUAAGGGCGGUGAAGUCAGACCGGAAGGACUGGUGGAGCGCUUAGAAGUGAGAAUGCCGGUAUGAGUAGCGAAAGAAGGGUGAGAAUCCCUUCCACCGAAUAUCUAAGGUUUCCUGAGGAAGGCUCGUCCGCUCAGGGUUAGUCGGGACCUAAGCCGAGGCCGAUAGGCGUAGGCGAUGGACAACAGGUAGAGAUUCCUGUACCAGUGCUAAUUGUUUAACCGAUGGGGUGACACAGAAGGAUAGGGAAUCGCACGAAUGGAAAUGUGCGUCCAAGCAGUGAGUGUGAGAAGUAGGCAAAUCCGCUUCUCGCGAAGCAUGAGCUGUGAUGGGGAAGGAAAUUAAGUACGGAAGUUCCUGAUUUCACGCUGUCAAGAAAAGCCUCUAGGAAGAGUAGUACUGCCCGUACCGCAAACCGACACAGGUAGAUGAGGAGAGAAUCCUAAGGUGAGCGAGAGAACUCUCGUUAAGGAACUCGGCAAAAUGACCCCGUAACUUCGGGAGAAGGGGUGCUCUAUUAGGGUGCAAGCCCGAGAGAGCCGCAGUGAAUAGGCCCAGGCGACUGUUUAGCAAAAACACAGGUCUCUGCAAAACCGUAAGGUGACGUAUAGGGGCUGACGCCUGCCCGGUGCUGGAAGGUUAAGAGGAGUGCUUAGCUUCGGCGAAGGUACGAAUUGAAGCCCCAGUAAACGGCGGCCGUAACUAUAACGGUCCUAAGGUAGCGAAAUUCCUUGUCGGGUAAGUUCCGACCCGCACGAAAGGCGCAACGAUCUGGGCACUGUCUCAACGAGAGACUCGGUGAAAUUAUAGUACCUGUGAAGAUGCAGGUUACCCGCGACAGGACGGAAAGACCCCGUGGAGCUUUACUGCAACCUGAUAUGGAAUGUUUGUACCGCUUGUACAGGAUAGGUAGGAGCCGAAGAGACGUGUGCGCUAGCAUACGAGGAGGCAAUGGUGGGAUACUACCCUGGCUGUAUGACCAUUCUAACCCGCCACGCUUAGCGCGUGGGGAGACAGUGUCAGGUGGGCAGUUUGACUGGGGCGGUCGCCUCCUAAAGAGUAACGGAGGCGCCCAAAGGUUCCCUCAGAAUGGAUGGAAAUCAUUCGCAGAGUGUAAAGGCACAAGGGAGCUUGACUGCGAGACUGACAAGUCGAGCAGGGACGAAAGUCGGGCUUAGUGAUCCGGUGGUUCCGCAUGGAAGGGCCAUCGCUCAACGGAUAAAAGCUACCCCGGGGAUAACAGGCUUAUCUCCCCCAAGAGUCCACAUCGACGGGGAGGUUUGGCACCUCGAUGUCGGCUCGUCGCAUCCUGGGGCUGUAGUCGGUCCCAAGGGUUGGGCUGUUCGCCCAUUAAAGCGGCACGCGAGCUGGGUUCAGAACGUCGUGAGACAGUUCGGUCCCUAUCCGUCGCGGGCGCAGGAAAUUUGAGAGGAGCUGUCCUUAGUACGAGAGGACCGGGAUGGACACACCGCUGGUGUACCAGUUGUUCCGCCAGGAGCAUCGCUGGGUAGCUAUGUGUGGCAGGGAUAAACGCUGAAAGCAUCUAAGCGUGAAGCCCCCCUCAAGAUGAGAUUUCCCAUUUCUUCGGAAAGUAAGAUCCCUGAAAGAUGAUCAGGUAGAUAGGUUUGGAGUGGAAGUGUAGCGAUACAUGGAGCGGACAAAUACUAAUCGAUCGAGGACUUAACCAAAA